GGUUAACGCUAGCGGUGCGCCUAACACAUGCAAGUCGAGCGGGAUUGAGAGAAAGCUUGCUUUUGAUCAUGAUAGCGGCGAACGGGUGAGUAAUAUGUUGGUAUCUACCCUCAAGUCAGGAAUAGCCCACCGAAAGGUGGAUUAAUGCCGGAUAGACUCUACGGAGUAAAGAUUUAUUGCUUGAGGAGGAGCCUGCAUUCUAUCAGCUAGUUGGUGAGGUAAUAGCUUACCAAGGCGAUGACGGAUAGCUGGUCUGAGAGGAUGAUCAGCCACAAUGGAACUGAGACACGGUCCAUACUUCUACGGGAGGCAGCAGUGAGGAAUCUUCCACAAUGGGCGAAAGCCUGAUGGAGCGACACCGCGUGAAGGAUGAAGGUCUAACGACUGUAAACUUCUUUUCUGAGGGAGCAUAAUGAGAGUACUUCAGGAAUAAGCACCGGCAAAACUCGUGCCAGCAGCCGCGGUAAUACGAGUGGUGCAAGCGUUACCCGGAAUUACUGGGUGUAAAGCGUUCGCAGGCUGAUAUAUAAGUCAGGUAUGAAAGACCGGAGCUCAACUCCGUGUUUGUAUUUGAAACUAUAUAUCUAGAAUUAGGGAGAGGUAAGCGGAAUUCUAAGUGUAGGGGUGCAAUCCGUAGAUACUUAGAAGAACACCAAAAGCGAAGGCAGCUUACUGGAACUAUAUUGACGCUAAGGAACGAAAGCGUGGGGAGCGAAAAGGAUUAGAUACC
rnacentral:rRNA from 1 species